UUUUCUUUUUGCUUUUAGUAAACUUCCUUUUAUCCUUCAAAAAAAAAAAAAAAGCAGGUUGAGUCAGAAAAUUUUAGAACUAUGAUUCCAUCUGCAGCUGCUACUUGUUCUAUGCAGGCAUGGUACUCGCAUGCAGCAAUUAAGGCUGGCCAUGAAGCAUCUACAUCUAUAGAGCAAAUUAUCUCCCCUGUGAUACUUUAACAUGUGAGUGGAACAUAGUUCAGAGCCAUUCACAACUAUUGACAUUGUUGAGAUUUUGGAGGUAAAGAGAAUUUUAUUAAAUCGAGGCGUAUGACCACCCGACUUACGAGACUUGCAGGGCAUGCCCACAAGCCUUCAAGUAAUUUGAGGUGUAUAACCACCCGACUUACGAGAAAAUCUCGUAAGUCGGCUGGUUCUCAGAUUCUUAUUUGGUUAAAAAUGUCAUGUUACGGUAUGUUUUUAGCUUCUUAUGUCUGUUUGUUCAUACAUACAUAAAUUUGUAUUUCAUUUACAGGUAAAGAGAGUUUUAUUAAAUUGAGGUGUAUAACCACCCGACUUACGAGACUUGCAGGGCAUGCCCACAAGCCUUCAAGUAAUUUGAGGUGUAUAACCACCCAACUUAACGAGAAAAUCUCACAAGUCGGGUGGUUCUCAGAAUCUUAUUUGGUUAAAAAUGUCAUGUUAUGGUAUGCUUUUAGCUUCUUAUGUCUGUUUGUUCAUAUACAUACAUAAAUUUGUAUU